GUGCUCACUUCCACAGAACACAGACUAAAAUUGGAAUGAUGUAAAGAUUAGCAUGGCCCCUGUGCAAGGAUGACAUGCAAAUUUCUGAAGCACUCCAUAUAUUU